UUUGGCCCAUAGGUAUCUGAUGUCCAGAUUUAACUUGAAUCAAUUGGUUUAGUUUUUGUGGCUGGGCAUUUCGUAAAAACUUGGGCCAAAUUGAUUUCAAAAACAGGUCUUGCGACACAGCUUGCUUCUUUCAACCAUAAGCAUUCUGUUACUUAAUCCCUGCUUACAUUU
rnacentral:snoRNA from 1 species